ACAUACGACCAUAGGGUGUGGAAAACAGGGCUUCCCGUCCGCUCAGCCGUACUUAAGCCACACGCCGGGAGGUUAGUAGUUGGGUGGGUGACCACCAGCGAAUCCCCUCUGUUGUAUGUU
rnacentral:rRNA from 1 species